rnacentral:rRNA from 1 species
UACGGGAGGCAGCAGUGGGGAAUAUUGCACAAUGGGCGCAAGCCUGAUGCAGCCAUGCCGCGUGUAUGAAAAAGGCCUUCGGGUUGUAAAGUACUUUCAGUCGUGAGGAAGGUGUUAAUGUUAAUAACCUUAGCAAUUGACGUUAGCGACAGAAGAAGCACCGGCUAACUCCGUGCCAGCAGCCGCGGUAAUACGGAGGGUGCGAGCGUUAAUCGGAAUUACUGGGCGUAAAGGGCACGCAGGCGGUUAAUUAAGUUGGAUGUGAAAUCCCCGGGCUUAACCUGGGAAUGGCAUUCAAGACUGGUUAGCUAGAGUCUUGUAGAGGGGGUAGAAUUCCAUGUGUAGCGGUGAAAUGCGUAGAGAUGUGGAGGAAUACCGGUGGCGAAGGCGGCCCCUGGGACAAAGACUGACGCUCAUGUGCGAAAGCGUGGGGAGCAAACAGGGAUUAGAUACC